rnacentral:rRNA from 1 species
CUGCCAGUGAUAAACUGGAGGAAGGUGGGGAUGACGUCAAGUCAUCAUGGCCCUUACGACCAGGGCUACACACGUGCUACAAUGGCAUAUACAAAGAGAAGCGACCUCGCGAGAGCAAGCGGACCUCAUAAAGUAUGUCGUAGUCCGGAUUGGAGUCUGCAACUCGACUCCAUGAAGUCGGAAUCGCUAGUAAUCGUAGAUCAGAAUGCUACGGUGAAUACGUUCCCGGGCCUUGUACACACCGCCCGUCACACCAUGGGAGUGGGUUGCAAAAGAAGUAGGUAGCUUAACCUUCGGGAGGGCGCUUACCACUUUGUGAUUCAUGACUGGGGUGAAGUCGUAACAAGGUAACCGUAGGGGAACCUGCGGUUGG